rnacentral:rRNA from 1 species
UACGUAGGUGGCAAGCGUUGUCCGGAAUAACUGGGUGUAAAGGGCGAGUAGGUGGGACAUUAAGUCAGAUGUGAAAUUUGGGAGCUCAACUCCCAAGCUGCAUCUGAAACUAAAGUUCUUGAGUGCUGGAGAGGGAAGCGGAAUUCCUAGUGUAGCGGUGAAAUGCGUAGAUAUUAGGAGGAACACCAGUGGCGAAGGCGGCUUUCUGGACAGUAACUGACACUGAGGCGCGAAAGCGUGGGGAGCGAACAGG